UACGUAGGGGGCUAGCGUUGUCCGGAAUCGUUGGGCGUAAAGAGCGUGUAGGCGGUCCGGUAAGUCCGCUGUGAAAGUCGGGGGCUCAACCCUCGAAUGCCGGUGGAUACUGUCGGGCUAGAGUGCGGAAGAGGCGAGUGGAAUUCCUGGUGUAGCGGUGAAAUGCGCAGAUAUCAGGAGGAACACCUAUUGCGAAGGCAGCUCGCUGGGACGUAACCGACGCUGAGACGCGAAAGCGUGGGGAGCAAACAGG
rnacentral:rRNA from 1 species